GGGUAUCUUGCGCACUGGGACGAAAGUCUUGACGGCAGCAACGCCGCGUGAGUGAUGAAGGCUUUCGGGUCGUAAAACUCUGUUGUUAGGGAAGAACAAGUGCUAGUUGAAUAAGCUGGCACCUUGACGGUACCUAACCAGAAAGCCACGGCUAACUACGUGCCAGCAGCG
rnacentral:rRNA from 1 species